ACGGAAGUUUUCAGAGAUGAGAAUGUGCCUUCGGGAACCGUGAGACAGGUGCUGCAUGGCUGUCGUCAGCUCGUGUUGUGAAAUGUUGGGUUAAGUCCCGCAACGAGCGCAACCCUUAUCCUUUGUUGCCAGCGGUCCGGCCGGGAACUCAAAGGAGACUGCCAGUGAUAAACUGGAGGAAGGUGGGGAUGACGUCAAGUCAUCAUGGCCCUUACGACCAGGGCUACACACGUGCUACAAUGGCGCAUACAAAGAGAAGCGACCUCGCGAGAGCAAGCGGACCUCAUAAAGUGCGUCGUAGUCCGGAUUGGAGUCUGCAACUCGACUCCAUGAAGUCGGAAUCGCUAGUAAUCGUGGAUCAGAAUGCCACGGUGAAUACGUUCCCGGGCCUUGUACACACCGCCCGUCACACCAUGGGAGUGGGUUGCAAAAGAAGUAGGUAGCUUAACCUUCGGGAGGGCGCUUACCACUUUGUGAUUCAUGACUGGGGUGAAGUCGUAACAAGGUAACCGUAGGGGAACCUGCGGUUGGAUCACCUCCUU
rnacentral:rRNA from 2 species